rnacentral:rRNA from 1 species
GACGAACGCUGGCGGCGUGCUUAACACAUGCAAGUCACGGGGGCCCGCAAGGGCAACCGGCGAACGGGUGCGUAACACGUGAACAACCUGCCCUCGUGUGGGGGAUAGCCGGGCUAACGCCCGGGUAAUACCGCAUACGUUCCCUUGGAGGAGUCUCUGGGGGAGGAAAGCUCCGGCGCACGGGGAGGGGUUCGCGGCCUAUCAGCUAGUUGGCGGGGUAAUGGCCCACCAAGGCGACGACGGGUAGCUGGUCUGAGAGGAUGGCCAGCCACAUUGGGACUGAGAGACGGCCCAGACUCCUACGGGAGGCACCAGUGGGGAAUCUUGCGCAAUGGGCGAAAGCCUGAUGCAGCGACGCCGCGUGAGGGAUGACGGCCUUCGGGUUGUAAACCUCUUUCAGUAGGGAAGAAGCGAAAGUGACGGUAGGCGCAGAAGAAGCACCGGCUAACUACGUGCCAGCAGCCGCGGUAAUACGUAGGGUGCAAGCGUUGUCCGGAAUUAUUGGGCGUAAAGAGCUCGUAGGCGGUCUGUUGCGUCCGCUGUGAAAACUCGGGGCUUAACCCCGAGCCUGCAGUGGAUACGGGCAGACUAGAGGUAGGUAGGGGAGAAUGGAAUUCCCGGUGUAGCGGUGAAAUGCGCAGAUAUCGGGAGGAACACCGGUGGCGAAGGCGGUUCUCUGGGCCUUACCUGACGCUGAGGAGCGAAAGCGUGGGGAGCGAACAGGAUUAGAUACCCUGGUAGUCCACGCCGUAAACGAUGUGCGCUGGAUGUUGGGGCUCUUAGAGCUUCAGUGUCGUAGCCAACGCGGUAAGCGCACCGCCUGGGGAGUACGGCCGCAAGGUUGAA